AAAUUGAAGAGUUUGAUCAUGGCUCAGAUUGAACGCUGGCGGCAGGCCUAACACAUGCAAGUCGAACGGUAACAGGAAGCAGCUUGCUGCUUCGCUGACGAGUGGCGGACGGGUGAGUAAUGUCUGGGAAACUGCCUGAUGGAGGGGGAUAACUACUGGAAACGGUGGCUAAUACCGCAUAACGUCGCAAGACCAAAGAGGGGGAUCUUCGGGCCUCUUGCCAUCAGAUGUGCCCAGAUGGGAUUAGCUAGUUGGUGA
rnacentral:rRNA from 1 species